AAUGUGUUGACACAUUGACAUCGAGGGGACAAGUGAUUGAAUCGGAUCGCCCGUGUUUUGUAAUGGUUAGAGAUUUGGACCCACCCAUCCACCAAAUAUUCACCCAUUUGUAAACGGACAAUAAAGCAAAUGUGUCAUAGAUAAUCAACACAUUACCCAUCAGCAUAAAUUGACCUGGUUAAGAGUCCCAGCCCUACAAGUUAUAAUUGUAUAAACAGCCUUUUUUUAAAUAGUAAUAUUUUAGCUUUCCAUUUAGGUAGGUGGAAAUUAAAGAUCUUCCAUUCAGCAGUGUGAUGUUGAGGUCCAAUUUGUUUCAAAAGGUCGUCUGGUGAUCUCUUUAUACUAGUCAUCACUCAUCAACCAUUGUCAUGGUUGUCAGUUGUCACUGCUUGCAUCCCCAUCUAUAUUUCCCUCAGGUUUACUAUCAAAUUCAUACAAAAAUAAUCUACCGUUUGCUUCUUUUUCUCGUGAAUAAAUAUUAUAAACUAAAUCUUAAUUAUUUCUAAACCUUCUAGGACUAUACUUGUCUCUCUGGAAAACAUGUAUGAUCUUGAGCAAAAAUCAACUACUCAGUCUACGUCCAUAAAGAGGAAUCAAUAAUACUAAAACCAUAACUAACCUUCGUGGUAUCCCUUGUCAAAAUAAAAUUCACAACUAUGUUUAUGGUUUCAGCUACAAAAAAAUACUCUAUUUAUUAUUUGAGAAACUGAAAUUUAAAAUACUAUCUUCAGUGGAUUAGAUAUUUGUUUAUGGAUUUCUCCUCAGAUAUGUUGAGCUACGUUCUUUUUCAAAUUAACGAAAGAAGAAGCCUAUAUACAUAUCACCUCACCUCUAUGGUAAAUAACUUGUAAAUCGUUUUAGUAUACCAGUUGGUUUUUGAGUCUUUUGCUAUCGUUGACAUUUUCAUAGCUCCAUUAUCUCUCGAGGCUAAGCUUAAAUGGCUUCUUCAAAAAAGUGUGUAUACUUUGAAUUAUUUACGUCUUAUUUCUUGUUCCUCUAACCAAACAUAAAGAAAACUUACAUCUAUAUAAGUUUUCAUGUUCUACAUUUUAUACGUUCUUUGGUUCCUGUAUGUUACAGCAUUUUCCCUUAAUCACCUAUCUUUACUUUUCAUCAACGUCACUUUGGUUUAAUAACAUUUCAUUAUCAAUUCCUGUUUGCAUACCGGUUAAAGGGACACAUGUCUAGUCCAAUAAUAAUAACAGUAUUCCUCUUUUAAAUACAAACUUUGACAUCCCUUAUAUACUAAAGUGCAAGUUGCCUAGCAAAUCAGAAAUUGACAUGUGGCAAAUUUUUGUUAAAAAAAAUUGUGCCAAUAAAAAAAUACAUGUUUCGACUCCCAAUAUUUCUAAAACUGUAAAUAAACUAAAUUUCUAGAAUUUCUCAGAUCACCAGCACGUUCGAUUCAAAUAAAAUAAAUAAUUAUCCCUAAAGUUCAACACGUUCUUAUUCCUAAAUUUUCUCAUACUAGUUUUCAGUUUCAACUCUUAUAUCACUUUUAAGCAAAUACUUUUAAUCUCUAUCUCUAUUUUUCUCCAUCGUUUCUUCUUCAUCUUUCUCUUUGUGUUUUAACUUUUGAAUGUAGCAAAGAACUCUACACAAGUUUAUGUCUCACUUUUUUCACAUUUAUUAUUCUCUACUUUACAGUUUAACACUCUGAUUUUUUAAAUUUUUGUGCAUGAUUCAGGAUGAAGGUGGUAUUUAAGAAUAUUCAUGUUUCAAAACUUCAUUCUUAAGAAGAAAGAAACCCAUGCUUUGUCAGCAACUUAGAAAACUGUAAGUAUAUCUGAAUCUACUAUGUAUAAACUGAGCAGUAACAAAUCUGUUUGUUACGGUUUGACUAUUGUACAAAUAUGUUUUCGUAUAACAACAUAUUCAACUAUAUUGUCUUAUCUUUUAAGCUCUAGGUUAGUUUUGGAUGCAGAGGAAAAUGAAGGUGAUAGAGAAGAAUCUAAAAAUGCAAAUUCAAAAAAGUAAUCUAAAAUGUGUUUUUUUUUUAUUGAGCAUUCAUCUUUUUACUGGGUUUGGAUAUCAAACAUAUCAUUUAUAUACUAAAUCACAAGUCACAUGAGCAAUAACAUUUUGACACAUGGUAUUAAUUUUACAAAAAAAAACUAAAAACAAAUAAGAAAAAACAACCGAUUAAAAAAAUAUUCUCCAUCCCCUAUUUUUCUGCAAUUUCAACCAUCUAAUUCCUAAAUUUUCUAAAUUUUCUGAAACUUUCACCCACGUUUCAUUAUCAACUGUUUUCUUCUGUAUAUUUCCAGCUUUAAAUAUCAUUUCCAAAACUUGUUAAAACGGUCAAAAGAGUAAAGAACUUCUGCUCUUCCUUUUGUCCAUUUUUCACAGUUUCUUCAAAAGCUCAAACUCCACCGUAUUCGUCAGAUAAUAUAUGAGCCCAAACAGUAAGAUAAAUCAGAGUAGAAAUGACACUUGUGUAUACUUCUGUUUCACAGAUUCUAAAAGGAGACAAAGCUAAAUGGGAAAUAAUUUUUUAUCAGCAACAAAGAGUGAACUUUAGAGGAAAGGAUGAUACUUUAGGGUAUGCACACCGUUGCUAAUAUUUCUGCUGCUGUUGCGGAGAUAACUUGGCUGGAAAUAUGAAUCAGCGCAUGAGAAAGAUCAGAAGUAUAAAGAAGGCAAAUUUGUUCUGGAAAGAUGGAGAACACUACAGAUGGAGAAAAUGAGAACACGUUGAAAUUAUGAGUUCACCCGUCACCCGUGAGCUUGCAGAAAUAUGUUAAAAUAACCAAAAAUCAGUAUUUUAAAAGUAUUAUCCCAGUUUAUUUAAAAAUACUUAAAUAUAAUUUGCAUUCCCAAAUACAUUUUUCUCUUCAAAGAUCCAAGUAAAUUUUUGCUAUUUUACAAUAAAAAAUAGACAAAUGAAAACAAUAAAGCCAUUAAAAAUAUUAAAAAUAUAACGUGUUUGAGAAAAUUAUGAAGAAAAAUCUUAAAUGCGUUUAUUGUAGCAUUUAAAUAUGGAUAUUCAUUUUCAUAAUUGAUUUUUCUAUUGCACCUCACUCUUUAUGUUAGGUCUCAAAAUAUCAAAAACAAUAAGUAUUAUAUUUUCAAUUAUAUUUUGUCAUAAUCUAUCAUAAAUUUAUUUGUUGUAUUUAAAAUAAAUAUGCUUAACUUAAUGGAAAUUUACAACAAAAAACAAAUUAAUGAAUCAAAUAUAACACUCUAAACUAUAUUUUAUGUGUUGUAUAUAUCUCAAAUUUUAAACAUAAAAUACUUUCUACAUAUUCUAUUUUGAACUAUUUUCCGUUUACAAAGUCUUUAUUUGAAUGCAACUAUUUUAUGCAAUUGUUAUCCAUAUUUAUAGAAUAUUUAAUUAGUAUAAUCAUCUUUUGAUUUAUAAUUCUGAAAUUGCAGUUUUAUCAUCAAAUAAUUUUAAAAACAGUUAUUUUGAUUUGUGCGUAGCACGAGGGUAACACUAGUGUAUAAAUAUUUUCAAUACAGUUUAAUGCUUUUUUCUAAUUUAUUUUUGUUUCACUUUUAUCAUAUCAAAAGCUAUCUGUGCGUAGCACGGGGGUGGUUAUACUAGUUUUCCUAAAAGGGUAAUUCGACAGUACUAUUUCAUCUUCCUAAUCUUUAAUGUCAUUGUUUCUGUAUUUUCUGAAUCACAUACUUCGAGAUUGACACAUUUUUCCAUUAAACUCACUUUAUAUGUCUUGAUUCGUCAUUUCUUUACGUUUUCAGUGAGUUUACAGAGGAACUAGAUUUUUUGUUCUAAAUCUUUUUGAAAAAAUUAAUUUUACAUUUGUGUUAUUUUUUGUAAUAAUAUUUGUGUUUAAUAUUAAUUUAAUAUAAUUUUUAGUAACUAUAUUAAGUAUGUCAAGUUGCAUAACUAUGCAUUUGUGCUUUAUGCAUUUCAGGAAUUAGUUUUAACUUUAUUCCUAAAGCUUGCAACAUAUUAUAUUUUCUUAGUAGUUAUUUAACAUAAUUAGUCAAGAAUAUUCGUACCCAAAAACUUCUGACUCGGAGUCGACCUGAAAAUCAAACUCUCAUACUCUAUUAGACUUUGCUUAUAUACUUGAACGUUUGUUAAAGUGUUAUAUCCAAAAACCAAUAUCAAAACUAAUCCGCACCGAAAUCUUUAUAAUAUAUUCUGUUAAAUAUAUGUAUACAUUUGGUUAAUAUGGUUUUCACUAAUUUUAAGUAAAAUCACAUUUAAUGAAUAUUUUUUUAAUCGACAACCUAUUUAAAACCGAUUAAAUGAGUUUAUAUGGAUAUUUAUUUCUAUUAAAAUCCAUUUGAACCCAUUACCAUAAACACAAUGGUGAACACAAUAGUGGACACGUUUAAUUUAAUAUAUGGUUGAAGGUAAAAGCACGGGUGAUUAAAAAUUCAUGUGAGAAGAUCACAAAAGAAAAAAUGAUUCGUUGAUAAUAUCAAACGGUUAUUGAAAGGGAGUUGGGAUUAUACUUGUGGCCUUUAUCUUUUUUGGUAAAAUUUGUGGCCUUUAUUUUUGGUAGUCCACUAAGGCAAAAGUAGUUAUAGAUAUACUCUUACGAUUCAAAAUCUUUAUAUAUAAAAUAGGCUUUGUAUCCCUCCUGGUGAUGCCACAUAGGAUGCCAGCUAGGAAAUUCGUUUCAUACCAUAUCGACACGUGUCAAGAGGGAAAACCGCAUCGUUUCAUUAACGAAAUUAUGCAAUACGUGUGGGUUUCUUUUGUGGUUUCAGAUCUACUCAAAUUUGUUUGGGCUUUUAUUAAAACCCAUAAAAACACAGAAGCUCUCUCAUCGGACUCUCCGCCCGAUACUCUCUGCCUCAGUUUUUUGUUUGUACAUCCACCGCAAGUAAAUAUCUACUAGAGUUACGUAAUCAUUGAGAAAUCCAAUCGCCGACUUUAACGCAGGCAUUAAGACCAUUACUCCCUUGCUCAAGAUCUCCUACUAUAAAAGACGACAAGGAGAGUAAAUGGCGGCGGGUGAUGUGGUGGCAAAGUGGAUUAUAGAGAGGCGGAGAUACAAAGGUGGUGAUGAUCGAUUUAUGAUGAGGCCGCCCGUAGAGUAGAUGUUGAUGAAGCUGAAUUCAUUGUCGGGACUUGGAGAAAGUUGUAAAACCAUUCACUCUCCCCCAAAAUUUCAUAAAUAAAACCAUUUACAUCAUAUAUCUUGAUACACAUCGAUUUUUUUUUCUUCGUCGUAGACGAACCUAGCAGCAAUAAAUACGACUAGAUUCGCAAUCAACGGUUGCCGUAAUCAGAUAGGAAGUCCAGUGAUUUCUGCCAGAGCUUUCAUCAUAAAAAUAGGAGAAGUAGCUUGGAGGAAAGAAAGGAUGACGAAAUAGAGAGAGAAGUGAUUGAAACAGAGCAUCAGUAAGUGGAAGAAUCAAGAAUUUAGAACAAAGUUGUGAUUAUUAUUAGUCUUUGUAUCGGAUCUUUGUGGAAUAAGUUAGUAAUAGAGCUCUUGGUGUGCAUCAAUGGCGAGUUAGGCGAUGGUGCAAGCUCCUCUCCAAGGUUUUACCGUUUUUAUUUUCUGAGUAAAAACAACUCAAAAGUCAAAACAAAUAAAAAGUAUAUUUGAUCA